ensembl:lncRNA
UUUGUAUUCUUAAAGCCUAUUAGUAAAUCACUCAUUCAUGGUACGCAUCCCAGAACACUAGUACAAGUAUUUUGGUUUUUGUGACAUUGGCAGAAAGGCACACAACAUCAGAGCACCAGUUACUUGAGAAGGAUGAGUUGCAUGUUGUGUCUAAUGCUCCAUAUCAUUGAUACCUACUGAACAUAAUCAGAGCUGAAAGAGCUCUUCAUGCUGACAUAACGUUGAACAGGCAGUGAAUCUGGUACAACGAGACUUGCCAUGGCUAAAGUUGAUGAUAAAAAGACUAUGACAAUCUAUCUAACUACUUGUAUUUGACCACAAUGUUGCCAUCCACUAUCAACUGUACCAGGGCCAAAAUAGCAGCACCUUGGAACAGAUGAUAUGGAGUCAAGUAGAGUUCUAAAAAAAGAGCCCAUCCACCAGCAGUCUAACAGGCCUCAAGCCUCAGUACUUUGGCAUGUUAGAGAGGUUGGUUUCACCUUGUGCACGGAGGUCCCAUGAAUAUUACAGUGGGAAGAUGUUCUGUGCUGUAAUUUGACACAAAGUAGCCCUACCGGUUGGAUGGAAAGCAUUGUGAAGUAGUAAAUCAGGCCAGUCAAUCACACACACACUCACACCUACAUACAGGCAUACACAUAUACAGCCAUACACACACACACACACACACACACACACACACACACACACCUACAUACAUGCAUACACAUAUACAGCCAUACACACACACACACACACACACACACUCACACCUACAUACAAGCAUACACAUAGUAUACAGCCAUACUCACACAAACACACAGACACACACACACACACACACACUCGCACCUACAUACAUACAGCCAUGUACACACACACACACACAAGCACCCUCACAUGCUUGCACACAGACACAAACACCUUCUUACACACACACACACACACACACACACACACACACACACACACACACACACACACACACACACACACACUCACACCUACAUACAAGCAUACACAUAGUAUACAGCCAUACUCACACAAACACACAGACACACACACACACACACACAAACACACACACACACUCGCACCUACAUACAUACAGCCAUGUACACACACACACACACAAGCACCCUCACAUGCUUGCACACAGACACAAACACCUUCUUACACACACACACACACACACACACACACACACACACACACACACACACACACAC